rnacentral:rRNA from 1 species
GGAGUUAGCCGGUGCUUCUUCUGUGAGUGAUGUCCUUCCUGCCGGCUAUUAACCCGCAGGCCUUCUUCCUCACUGAAAGUGCUUUACAACCCGAAGGCCUUCUUCACACACGCGGCAUGGCUGGAUCAGGGUUGCCCCCAUUGUCCAAUAUUCCCCACUGCUUCCUCCCGUAGGAGUCUGGGCCGUGUCUCAGUCCCAGUGUGGCUGAUCAUCCUCUCAGACCAGCUACGGAUCGUCGCCUUGGUUAGCCGUUACCUCACCAACCAGCUAAUCCGACAUAGGCUCAUCCGAUAGCGCGAGGCCCGAAGGUCCCCCGCUUUCCCCCGUAGGGCGUAUGCGGUAUUAGCCUGGGUUUCCCCAGGUUAUCCCCCACUACCGGGCAGAUUCCUAUGCAUUACUCACCCGUCCGCCGCUCGCCACCAGGGAGCAAGCUCCCCGUGCUGCCGCUCGACUUGCAUGUGUUAGGCCUGCCGCCAGCGUUCAAUCUGAGCCAGAAUCGAACCCUGA